rnacentral:rRNA from 1 species
GACGAACGCUGGCGGCGUGCCUAAUACAUGCAAGUUGAGCGCUGAAGGUUGGUACUUGUACCAACUGGAUGAGCAGAGAACGGGUGAGUAACGCGUGGGGAAUCUGCCUUUGAGCGGGGGACAACAUUUGGAAACGAAUGCUAAUACCGCAUAAAAACUUUAAACACAAGUUUUAAGUUUGAAAGAUGCAAUUGCAUCACUCAAAGAUGAUCCCGCGUUGUAUUAGCUAGUUGGUGAGGUAAAGGCUCACCAAGGCGAUGAUACAUAGCCGACCUGAGAGGGUGAUCGGCCACAUUGGGACUGAGACACGGCCCAAACUCCUACGGGAGGCAGCAGUAGGGAAUCUUCGGCAAUGGACGAAAGUCUGACCGAGCAACGCCGCGUGAGUGAAGAAGGGUUUCGGAUCGUAAAACUCUGUUGGUAGAGAAGAACGUUGGUGAGAGUGGAAAGCUCAUCAAGUGACGGUAACUACCCAGAAAGGGACGGCUAACUACGUG